UACGAAGGGGGCUAGCGUUGCUCGGAAUCACUGGGCGUAAAGCGCACGUAGGCGGAUCGUUAAGUCAGGGGUGAAAUCCUGGAGCUCAACUCCAGAACUGCCUUUGAUACUGGCGAUCUUGAGUUCGGGAGAGGUGAGUGGAACUGCGAGUGUAGAGGUGAAAUUCGCAGAUAUUGGAUGGAACACCAGUGGCGAAGGCGAUUAACUGGGCCGGUAUUGACGCUGAGGUACGAAAGCGUGGGGAGCAAACAGG
rnacentral:rRNA from 1 species